ACGUAGGGGGCGAGCGUUAUUCGGAAUUACUGGGUGUAAAGGGUAUGUAGGCGGCCCUUCAAGUCGCGUGUCAAAGUCCAGUGCUCAACGCUGGGUGUGCGCGUGUUACUGACGGGCUUGAGGGCGGGAGAGGUGAGCGGAAUUCCCGGUGUAGCGGUAAAAUAAGUAGAAAUCGGAAGGAACACCAGUGGCGCAUGCAGCUGACUAGAAAGUUUCUGUCGCUGAGAUGCGGCAGCGUAGUGAGGGAACAG
rnacentral:rRNA from 1 species